AUUGAUCGGCUGCAGUUUAGCAGAGCAUGGCCAUUGUGCUUCUCUGGCCUCGGCUCUGAAGUCGAAUGUCCAUCUAAGAGAGCUGGACCUGAGCAAGAACGAGCUGUGGCACGCAGACCUGCAGCAGCUGUGUGGAUAUUUGGGGAGCAAAGACUGCAGGCUGAACUCUCUGGUGUAAGGCAGCACUCUUUUUUUCCUCUGCUGAAGUUACACUAACUAACACUGAACUGCAGAACAAAAGCUUUAAUUUGACCAGACCAUGCUGACUGCCUUCAGGCCAAAGUCCUGAGAGGUUUUCUGAUUCCAACCCACCAACUGCACUGACGUCGAAUUUCUCAUUAUCAAACUAACAUACCUGGAUGAUGCAGUUGGAGGUCAAGUUUUUCUUGCAUGUACGCGGCUCAACAAACUGAAACUGGCCCAAGUGUUCUGAAUGUGCACAAGUGUUUACACACCAGGCUCUGAGCAGGUGGAUGAACAUCCAAGUGGUAAACAAAAACUCGUUAGACAAUAAUGUGGUGAUUAUUCAAAAUCAGCCUUCACAGCAGCUCAGAGAAAACGGUAACCCUUACUUUUAUGGUACACUUAUUACCAGGUAAUUAACAGGUAAUUACCUAGUAACAACAUGAAAUUAUCUGGUAAUUACAUGAUAACUACUAAGUCAAUACUGUCUAGUUUUUCUUUUUUUUCUUUUUCUGUACAGCUCCAUUUUCAAAAGCUAUUUGGGGUUCUUAUUUUCUAUGAUUGACACUUGAUACAGCCUAUGGGCGUGCGAAGAUUGCGUAGCGAUACGCUGUUUGAACCGAGCGUUAUCACAGUGACUCACCCGCCGAAUGCUUACAAUGCUACUGCGCAAGUGGUGGUUCCAGGAAGCGGAGAAAAUCCUGAAAAUACCAGAGCAAUUCGGCUUCAAAUUUGUAUGAUGAAGGAAGGUUACCUACCUGGUAGCUAGACAGUAUUGACUUAGUAGUUAUCAUGUAAUUACCAGAUAAUUACACUUUGUUACUAGGGAAUUACCUGGUAAUUACUUGGUAAUAAGUGUACCGUAAAAGAAAGUGUUACUGAUAAAACAUGUAUGUCUAACGCAGCAUCAUUUCUUCUUUUUCAGAUUGACUGGGUGCUGUUUGCAAGAAAAAAGCUUUGCCUCUCUGGCCUCAGCUCUGAAGGUCAACCCCUCCCAGUGGAGAGAGCUGGACCUGAGCAAAAACAAUCUGCAGGAUUCACGAGUGAACUCUCUGUGUGAUUUUCUGAAGAAUCCAGACUGUAGACUGGAGACUCUGAGGUGAUUGAAUGUUGAUUUGAUUUCUUUUAUGUUAUUAGCACUGUGUGGAGGAUGUGGUGAUGCUAAAGUGCAGACACAUGGAGGGUGUUUUCCUGAUUCACGCUGAGUAUUAGUGAUCUAAUAUCUUCUUUUUUCAGAUUGAGGUUCUGCAGUUUGUCAGAGAUCAGUUUUUCUUCUCUGGCCUCAGCUCUGAAGACCAACCCCUCCCAUCUGAGAGAGCUGGACCUGAGUAACAACAAUCCACAGGAUUCAGGAGUGAAGCUGCUGUCCAGUUUUCUGCAAAAUCCAGAGUGUAGACUGGAGACUCUGAGGUCAGACAUUAUGGAUUUUACAGUUUUCGUAUGUUAGGUAUGGUGUAAAGGUGUGGUUACACUUCAGUGUAGAUGUAUGGAGGGAAGUAUACUUGUCUACUCUUAUUAAUGUUGUUUUGUUAAAGUCUGUUUUCUUCUCCAGCAGUUUUUCAAAUGUGCUCCAAAUUAAUCCAAAGCAAAAGGAUCUAAAACAGGAAAAAAACUACACAUCAUCACACUAGAUAAUUCACUCUGAGCCUCUGAAAAAUGUCAACAUUUUCACCUUCCCAUCAGGCAAAGUCAAACACUCAACACUUGACUGUACUAACUUUAAUAACCCAGUGCAGUCCCUGUUAUAAACCUGUUUGGUCAUCGAUCAUCUUCCGCUGGAUUUAAGUUGGAUCACAUUUUUUUAAUCUAAUCCUUUCCUUUUUUUAAGCUUGAGUGAGUGCAGUUUGACAAAGAUCAGCUGCUCUGCUUUGGCCUCGGCUGUGAAGUACAACCCCUCCUGCCUAAGAAAGCUGGACCUCAGUGACAACAAGCUGCAGAGUUCAGACGUGAAGCUGCUGUGUGAACUGGAGAGGAGCCGUAAACAUAGGCUGGAGGAUCUGAGGUCAGUAUAGGGUUGGAGUUGUGGUGUAAUGUGUUGCUUUUCACCAUCACCUCUGGUCUGAGUAGGACUGAAAUCUGCUGGUCUCUAAACUGGAUGUUCCUAAUUCCAGCUGAUGAAGUGAGUCUCAGAGUGAUUGUCUUUUUUGUGUCCUCAGAUGGAGUUAACAUCUGUCAGAGUAAAUUUAAAGAGGAUCAUCCGUUUUCUGAUGAUCAGAGAGGUGGAGGCAGCAGCAGUGAGGGUGAGGUGAAUCUCUGACUGGGUGAUGUUACUGAGAGACUGAUUGACCAAUCACAGUGAGCGGAGAGGACUCUGAGAGCCGCACUUUGACCUGCUCUGAGAUCAGCUUCACUGUCAUAAAAUAGGCUGUGGAAAACAGAUAAAUCUGUGUUUUUUUCAUAUAUUCUGAGUUUAAGUUACUGUAAAUCCUCAAAUUAUGUGUUGGAAAAUGCAGGAGUGUGAAAGGCCCAAUGUUGACAUUUAAAAAGCUACUAAAACCUUAAACAUGAAAGUUUCUGUUUUAUAAAUUAAAAAAUAAAAAUGUUGCCAAGAUCCACCUGCACACCUGUUUUUCAGGAAGAUGCUGAGAAGUGCACCCAUGAUUAAAUUAAACCACAUUUACUUACCAAUCAAGGGUUUGGGGCCCAGGGUUUAGGGUUUAGAAUUUAGGCACAUGAACAUGGUUCAGGGUUCAAGGCUCAGGGUUUAGAAUUUAG